UAGGGAGCAGUGGGGAAUAUUGCACAAUGGGCGCAAGCCUGAUGCAGCCAUGCCGCGUGUAUGAAGAAGGCCUUCGGGUUGUAAAGUACUUUCAGUCGUGAGGAAGGUGUUAAGGUUAAUAACCUUAGCAAUUGACGUUAGCGACAGAAGAAGCACCGGCUAACUCCGUGCCAGCAGCCGCGGUAAUACGGAGGGUGCGAGCGUUAAUCGGAAUUACUGGGCGUAAAGGGCACGCAGGCGGUUAAUUAAGUUGGAUGUGAAAUCCCCGGGCUUAACCUGGGAAUGGCAUUCAAGACUGGUUAGCUAGAGUCUUGUAGAGGGGGUAGAAUUCCAUGUGUAGCGGUGAAAUGCGUAGAGAUGUGGAGGAAUACCGGUGGCGAAAGGCGGCCCCUGGACAAAGACUGACGCUCAUGUGCGAAAGCGUGGGGAGCAAAACAGGGAUUAGAUACC
rnacentral:rRNA from 1 species